GGCUGUAGCUCAGUGGUAGAGCACCGGCUUUGCAUGAAGAAGGCCAUGGGUUCAGUCCCCAGAAUCUCCA